CAGAGCAGAUGGGAGGGGGACAUAAAAUAGGUCUACCUAUUUUAUGUCCCCCUCCCAUCUGCUCUGUAUUAUUGUUU